rnacentral:rRNA from 1 species
AUGGUCCACAGCAAGAUUACCUACUACAACUUAUUGACUCCUGAGCUCCAAGCGGAGAUCCAGACGGCUACAACAGGCUCUGCACAACUUUCAGCACAACAAGUGCCUCUGCGGUGCUCCCCUCCCUCCAUACAAGAAAUAGAUAGAAAUACAACAAGUGACUUUGAUAGAGUAAUAACGAGAUGUUGGUAUUGCCAUGUCGAUCAAUUCGACUGUACAUUGAUGUGUCAUAUGUAUGGAGAACACAUUUUACUCAUUUCAAAUAUUGGUCCUCAAUUUAAAAAAAAACUUCUACUUCAGGAAACUACUUUCCCUAAUUUCUAA